rnacentral:rRNA from 1 species
GCGAGCGAAAAGAAAACAGUUCAGCACUAAGUCACUUUGUCUUUAUGAUAAAUGUGAGAUGCAGUGUAUGGAAUAUCUAUAAUCUAGUAUGAGAAAUUAACGAUUUAAGUCCUUCUUAAAUGAGGCCAUUUACCCAUAGAGGGUGCCAGGCCCGUGUAACGUUAAUGAUUAUUAGAAGAUAUUUCCAAAGAGUCGUGUUGCUUGAUAGUGCAGCACUAAGUGGGUGGUAAACUCCAUCUAAAACUAAAUAUAACCAUGAGACCGAUAGUAAACAAGUACCGUGAGGGAAAGUUGAAAAGAACUCUGAAUAGAGAGUUAAAUAGUACGUGAAACUGCUUAGAGGUUAAGCCCGAUGAACCUGAAUAUCCAUUAUGAAAAAUACAACAUUAUAUGUCUAUUAAUAUGUUUAUAUAUUAUAGAAAUGGUGUGCAUUUUUUUCAUAUAAAGGACAUUGUAAUCUAUUAAUAUUUAAUAUAUAUUUAUCAAAAAAUCAUUAGCUCUAUAAGUUUAUUUAAAUUAAUUUACAUUAUUGUAUUUUAACAUAAAAUAAAUGCUUAUGAUUUGAUAAAGUGUUGAUAGAUUUAUUAUAUAUAGUGCUUAAAUUCAUAAGAAUUUUAUUAUAAUAUAAAUUAUCUUUUUGAUUUUUAUAUUUAUAACAUGCGCUAAUAUGAUUAACAAUGCGAUAGAUUCAGGAUACCUUCGGGACCCGUCU